rnacentral:rRNA from 1 species
AUUGAACGCUGGCGGCAUGCUUUACACAUGCAAGUCGAACGGUAACAGGGAGCUUGCUCCGCUGACGAGUGGCGAACGGGUGAGUAAUGCAUCGGAACGUACCGUGUAAUGGGGGAUAACGUAGCGAAAGUUACGCUAAUACCGCAUACGCCCUGAGGGGGGAAAGUGGGGGACCGGCAAGGCCUCACGUUAUACGAGCGGCCGAUGUCGGAUUAGCUAGUUGGUGGGGUAAAGGCCUACCAAGGCGACGAUCCGUAGCGGGUCUGAGAGGAUGAUCCGCCACACUGGGACUGAGACACGGCCCAGACUCCUACGGGAGGCAGCAGUGGGGAAUUUUGGGACAAUGGGGGCGAACCCUGAUCCAGCCAUGCCGCGUGAGUGAAGAAGGCCUUCGGGUUGGUUAAAGG